UGCACCUGAAUGGGGGCAUGGUUCAUCAACUUAUUUCUGGACUCUCUGGCUCUAAUUUAGGAGUGCAAGUGGGACUCCUAUGGGUGUCCUCUGUUGUGCAGCAGAGGCUCUUUGGAGGUCAAUGGGCUUGCACUGGCUUUCAUUCCUUCUGCCUUGCAAAAUGCCAGCCCUCUGGCCAUGGUUGGGUGCUGGUGGGAAGACAUGGUGCAUCACCACAGAGUGAAGCGAAGGGCCGGUCCCUGAUCCGUGUCACAGCCUGCUUGUGUGAACGUGGUGCUCUGUGUCCCCCUUCUGCCCACUUUGCCACUGCUGACAAAUUAAUGGCUGCCAUUUAUGGCUGUGGCACCAUGGAGUUACGGUUGAGAACAAUGGGGAAUCUGCUUUGCACCAAUCCUGAUGGCUGUGUUUUUCCACUGGGAUCCUUCAUACUGUGACUUGAGGAUUAUGUGACGUAGGGUCCCACCCCAACUGCACCCCGUGAGUGCAUCCACCUGGUUUGUGAACGGGAAGAGCAGGCAAAAACAUUUUGGAGGGCUUCCAUUUCCCAGGUUGUGGUGAGAUCAGAAGAGUACAGUAACCUUUGUUUUAUGUAUUUCUGCUGGAGAAUGUAAAACUUGGGAUUGUAAUAUUUGAACCCAGAACUUCAAUGAAGAAGUGGAUCUUCAGCACCUUCAUGACAACUGACUGAAGUUUGAUAUCACCAGUGUAGGCACCCAGAACUGCUUAGAGUAAUUAUUGACCACAUCAUCAGGGAGCGCUUCUUUGUGGCACGUGGCAAUGUAUUCACCUCACUCUGACUUUGGCAUUCAGGAAAAAAACCCAAGAGAUAAAUAAAACACCAUGUCACUUUGGAUAUCAGCAGCUCUGAUUAGUCAGAGAGGGCACUGAGGCUGGAGGAUGUCCAGUCUUCAAAUAAGCAGGAAGAAAAACAUCAUAUUGUGUUGUCUGCUGGGUGAGUGAGUGCACUGCAAAAGUUGAAGCCAUGUAGUGAAACUACCACAAUGCUUUGAUGGCACUUCGCUGUUAUUAAUAUCACUCUAUCUGCAGUGUGUGCAAUUAACUUAGGAGAAAGUUGCCAAAUAUCACAAAGAGCGGCAGCUUGAUCAGAUGCAGAAAUGAUUCUGAAAUAGGGAUGAUCUCUGUUUCUCCACCCUUGACAAAGAAGACCAGAUUUAGUGGCCAGAAUAACUUUUUAUGAUCAGUUCAAGCUCUUGAACCCUGCACAGGCAAAUGGGCUGACUAUGGAUAAAGGUAUAGAUGAGAUUUGGGAUUUGCAUAUCAAGGCUUGCUGGCUCAUUUUACGGGAGCAACUUUCUCACAAAAAAAAAAAGGAACCUUGGUGGUGAUUCAUAUGUUUGAGUCAAAGACUGACCUGGUUUUGGGGAGGAGAAAAGCUACAUAAUACAGCAAUGAUAGGAAAAAAAAUAAUCAUCAGGGAAGUCAUUCCUUGCAGGCAGCAUGAAGUUCUCUCUGCGGUGACUCAUGGUUCAGUUCCUCAUCUUAUGGAGGCGGUUCAAUUCUGUUAGGCACUGAGCAGAGUUUCUUCCAUUUCUUUGUGCUUAAGUUGUAAAAACCCUUCUCUGGUGGUUGGCAAGGGAGAGAGGUGGUAUGGUGCUGUGCUUAAAAAAAUUAGGGAGUCUAUUGAAUUUAAAU